rnacentral:tRNA from 2 species
GGGGCUGGCUGCGACACUGGUGUUCGUCACGGUCUUCAAAACCGCUCGAGAGGCGCGUGCCGUCUCUGGUAGGUUCGAUUCCUACACAGUCCCGCCA